rnacentral:rRNA from 1 species
CCUACGGGUGGCAGCAGUGAGGAAUAUUGGUCAAUGGGCGAGAGCCUGAACCAGCCAAGUCGCGUGAAGGAUGAAGGAUCUAUGGUUUGUAAACUUCUUUUAUAAAGGAAUAAAGUGCGGCACGUGUGCCUUUUUGUAUGUACUUUAUGACUAAGGAUCGGCUAACUCCGUGCCAGCAGCCGCGGUAAUACGGAGGAUCCGAGCGUUAUCCGGAUUUAUUGGGUUUAAAGGGAGCGUAGAUGGGUUGUUAAGUCAGUUGUGAAAGUUUGCGGCUCAACCGUAAAAUUGCAAUUGAUACUGGCAGUCUGGAGUACAGUUGAGGUAGGCGGAAUUCGUGGUGUAGCGGUGAAAUGCUUAGAUAUCACGAAGAACUCCGAUUGCGAAGGCAGCUUACUAAACUGCCACUGACAUUGAUGCUCGAAAGUGUGGGUAUCAAACAGGAUUAGAUACCCGGGUAGUC